GUCGCGCGCUCCAUCCCCAGCAUUGUACAGGCGGCGAGGCAAGCAGCGGCGGUUGUUUAUCGUUUUCCACAUCAGUUGGGGCUAAAAAAGUGGACUUUUGCGUAGUGUUAAGUUAAAUUCAAGCAGGUUUGCGUCUCUGCGGAGCUUAACGUCUGCUUGUAAACUGCGCUGACGUGUUUUAAAGAGCCGCUCACCGCCGACUUCACAGCCAACUUCUACCGUGGCAAAGUUAUUGUUGGGUACCCCGUGGGGUUUAAAGUUCAGCUAACAGUAGCGCCACCAGCUACUAGCAGGUAGUUAGCUCACUAACUUUGACGGUAACGUUAGUCACUAUGGCAGCUUUGUGCCAGCCACGACGUGCCUUGGUGGAAAUACCUGCUCCUCAACCUAAAAUCGCCGCUCGUAUGAGGAGAUCCUACCUGGAAAUUUUAAGUGCUCGUUUGGCUCCAACUCCACUUCUAAGAGGGAGAAACGCAACUGCAAACACGAGGCGUGCACAAUCACUGGACUUGUCCAUCGGUGGAGUCUGGAGCAGGAGGAUAGAGGAGCAGUGUGAGAAGAUGGAUGAGCAACAUACCCCCCUCUCCAAACAGCAGCUGGUGCAGCUCAUCAGAUCUCUCAUCAUAGUUGAACAGAGCCAAGACACCAGGAACCUGGCAGCCGACCUGAAGUACCUCCAGGAGGACCUGCAGCUGAAGAAGACAAAUAUUUACAGAUCUAUACCGUACUCACGGUUCGGCUCCAACAGGGACGCUCACUGCUACAGAAAGGCAUAUCCCCAUCUGGUGGCAUUCAAAGUUUCUUGUCAGGAGUGGGGCCAAGUUCUCCUGAGAAACAAAGAGUGGGACGCCGUGUUGGAGCACGCCCUGAUGGCGUGGCGCUUCACCAGCGAGCUGCCGCAGUGGGACACGGCGAGCCACAACGCCCUCCGAGAACAGUGUUACAGCAUCCUGGCGGCUCACAGCCUCUCUGCACUCCAGCACUACCAGCCUGAACCCAACAGAGGACGAGAGCUGCUCAGAAGCAAAAAUAUCUCCAGCAUUUUCCCGCCGCAUGGCAGAAACAUCUCACGACUUUGACGGCUCAAUCUGUGGCACUGUUUCGGGUGUACCUCGCCUCUUUGCUACGCAUCAAUUGCCGAAUUGCAACAUGGGCAUCCUACUGGAGUCCAGUCUGCAGGCUGUUGAAUGUUUAAGAUGGCUCAGCUGCACAGCCAGUCAGUCGUGCCUUGCAUCCAUCAGUUGCAAAGGAUUAUGGGAUGUGCUGAUGACUCCCCCAUGGACACAAAAUAACGCCAAAAACACUUUGGGAAAAAUGCUUCAUGAAUUGCCUAACUUGCUCUUUGUGGCAUAAAUCUGCAGAGAUAUUCUUCCAAAGGACAAAUGUGACGAGUGCCAGAUGAGGCAGUAAAAUCCUGCGUAUAAGGGCUGAAAAUGCAGAAAACCUUCUAUUUAAAUGCAUUACAUUCCCACUUUACUUGAAGCUAUUUUAGUGAGGAUUGUUUGUUGAAUGGUGUCUCAAUCUUUUGCUUCAAAAACUUUUAAGAGGAACAAACACUGAAAAUGUCGCAUUAGCUCGGAGCUGGAAGCAGAAACAAAUGCUUAUUUUUUAUGAAUAGCUUUGCAUUGAUGGGAUAAAUGUGGAAAGUAUGAAAUGGCCUUUCUGUGUAUAUAUGUCCUUGUUACUGUUCACAAUACUUGAAACUUUGGCCUGUUGUCUCUGACUCCAGCUGUUUUUAUAUGUUCGUCUUGUUUAUAGAGAAUUGUCUUUGUCUCUUAUUGCACUGUUCUUUGUUUGUCCUGAAAACUUGAAAAAUGUCAAUAAAAUAGACCAAUAAAGUUGUUA